rnacentral:pre_miRNA from 1 species
AGGAGGAACAACCCCAGUGGCGGGGCCAGCUCUGCAGCCCUGGAGUCAGCCCCCGCAGUAGCUCCAGAGCUCUCGGUCUGCAGGGCCUGGAGGCUCCGGGGCGGG